rnacentral:misc_RNA from 1 species
AAGUCGUAACAAGGUUUCCGUAGGUGAACCUGCGGAAGGAUCAUUAUUAAACGCGAAGCCAUCACUGGCCUAGCUUUAUAAUUCUUAUUACACCUGUGCACCUUAUUGUCUUCGGACAAUCUUUACAAACAACAGUGUAACGAAUGUAAACUAUUAUAAAAUAAUACAACUUUUAACAACGGAUCUCUUGGCUCUC